rnacentral:rRNA from 1 species
UUUCCCUACGGGGCGCAGCAGUGGGGAAUAUUGCACAAUGGGCGAAAGCCUGAUGCAGCAACGCCGCGUGAAGGAAGAAGGGUUUCGGCUCGUAAACUUCUAUUAACAGGGACGAAAGAAAUGACGGUACCUGAAUAAGAAGCCCCGGCUAACUACGUGCCGGCAGCCGCGGUAAUACGUAGGGGGCAAGCGUUAUCCGGAAUUACUGGGUGUAAAGGGUGAGGAGGCGGCAUGGUAAGC